rnacentral:rRNA from 1 species
UACGUAGGGGGCAAGCGUUGUCCGGAUUUAUUGGGCGUAAAGAGCGUGUAGGCGGCCAGGUAGGUCGGUUGUGAAAACUGGAGGCUCAACCUUCAGAGGUCGACCGAAACCAUCUGGCUAGAGUCCGGGAGAGGAGAGUGGAAUUCCACGUGUAGCAGUGAAAUGCGUAGAGAUGUGGAGGAACACCGAUGGCGAAGGCAGCCCCCUGGGUCAACACUGACGCUCAUGCACGAAAGCGUGGGGAGCAAACAGG